rnacentral:rRNA from 1 species
ACGAACGCUGGCGGCAGGCUUAACACAUGCAAGUCGAGCGCGCGCUUUCGGGCGUGAGCGGCGGACGGGUGAGUAACGCGUGGGAACGUGCCCUUUCCUCCGGAAUAGCCCUGGGAAACCGGGAGUAAUGCCGGAUACGCCCGGCCAUCGAGGGAUGGUCGGGGAAAGAUUUAUCGGGGAAGGAUCGGCCCGCGUUGGAUUAGGUAGUUGGUGGGGUAACGGCCCACCAAGCCGACGAUCCAUAGCUGGUUUGAGAGGAUGAUCAGCCACACUGGGACUGAGACACGGCCCAGACUCCUACGGGAGGCAGCAGUGGGGAAUCUUGGACAAUGGGGGCAACCCUGAUCCAGCCAUGCCGCGUGAUCGAUGAAGGCCUUAGGGUUGUAAAGAUCUUUCAGCGGGGAAGAUAAUGACGGUACCCGCAGAAGAAGCCCCGGCUAACUCCGU